AAUUAAUGAACUUGUACAAGUAUAUAUUUUGAAAAUAUAAAAAAGAGAUUUUAAUUCUCUAUUAAUUU
rnacentral:tRNA from 1 species